ACAAAUCUGGAAGAUGUCAAAACGAUGCGUUUUAAAGCUAAUAAAACCGUUCCACGGCCCACGGUGCCAUUUUACAGGGCAAAUGUGAAGGCCCAAAUGGCCAUUCCGUUGGAGGAGAUGACACAAAACGCUGCGUUUUGAGCUCUGAUGCUCUCUUCCCUGCUUCUGGGUCCGGCUCUCAGUUUCAGAGUCUCUUGGCUCUCAUUCUCAGUCACCAUCUUCAAUCUCUUACCGAAAAAACCACUAAAAAAGAUUUCAAUUGGAAGUGGAAGAUAUUUAGUCACUCAGUGGGUGCCAUAUAUGGCACGGCAGCAUUUGGUUCUGCAAUUGAGGAUUUCCCCUCGUACUUUAAUAGUUGCAGUCCAAAAACAAAAGGAGAUUCACUCCAGGAGGUACUCAUGGGUAAACUUACAAUCAGUUUGUCUGUAUCAGUAGAUUCCAAACAGUGGGUUCUUGGCCAAUUUGUAUAUAUCGAUGGUUUUCUUAAUUACUGGAUUAGUUGAUCAUCAUUGUUGUUAAAAGAAUAUAGAAUUCUCUUAAACCUUGGAGAAGGUUUCUAUAUUUACUAAAGGUAUAUAUUUUAAGCUUGUCCUAAUC